UACGGGGGGGGUAAGCGUUGUUCGGAAUUACUGGGCGUAAAGGGCUCGUAGGCGGCCAACUAAGUCGGACGUGAAAUCCCUCAGCUUAACUGGGGAACUGCGUCUGAUACUGGAUGGCUUGGAUUUGGGAGAGGGAUGCGGAAUUCCAGGUGUAGCGGUGAAAUGCGUAGAUAUCUGGAGGAACACCUGAGGUGAAGACGGGUUGCUGGGCUGACACUGACGCUGAGGCACGAAAGCCAGGGGAGCAAACGGG
rnacentral:rRNA from 1 species